GAUGAACGCUGGCGGCGUGCUUAACACAUGCAAGUCGAACGAAGCGCUUUAGUUGAUUUCUUCGGAUUGAUUCUAAAGUGACUUAGUGGCGGACGGGUGAGUAACGCGUGAGGAACCUGCCUUUCAGAGGGGGACAACAGUUGGAAACGACUGCUAAUACCGCAUAACGCGUAGAGGUCGCAUGGCCUUUACGCCAAAGAUUUAUCGCUGAAAGAUGGCCUCGCGUCUGAUUAGCUAGUUGGUAGGGUAACGGCCUACCAAGGCGACGAUCAGUAGCCGGUCUGAGAGGAUGAACGGCCACAUUGGGACUGAGAUACGGUCCAGACUCCUACGGGAGGCAGCAGUGGGGAAUAUUGGGCAAUGGGGGAAACCCUGACCCAGCAACGCCGCGUGAAGGAAGAAGGCCUUCGGGUUGUAAACUUCUUUUAGCAGGGACGAAGGACGUGACGGUACCUGCAGAAAAAGCAACGGCUAACUACGUG
rnacentral:rRNA from 1 species